rnacentral:rRNA from 1 species
GGCCCAGAUCGUUUACCGUGAAAAAAUUAGAGUGUUCAAAGCAGGCAGAUCCAAUUUUCUGCCACCGAAUACAUUAGCAUGGGAUAAUGGAAUAGGACCCUGUCCUCCUAUUUUCAGUUGGUUUUGGCAGCGCGAGGACUAGGGUAAUGAUUAAUAGGGAUAGUUGGGGGCAUUAAUAUUUAAUUGUCAGAGGUGAAAUUCUUGGAUUUAUGAAAGAUUAACUUCUGCGAAAGCAUCUGCCAAGGAUGUUUUCAUUAAUCAAGAACGAAAGUUAGGGGAUCGAAGACGAUCAGAUACCGUCGUAGUCUUAACCAUAAACGAUGCCGACCAGCGAUUAGGAGACGUUGAAUACAAAACACCACCAUCGGCGCGGUCGUCCUUGGCGUCGGUCUUUCGGGGCCGGCGCGGGGGCGGCUUAGCCCGGUGGCACCGGUGAAUGACUCCCCUAGCAGCUUGUGAGA